GGGGCUGGCUAGUGGCUAAAGCUGGGGAUUACGGCAGAGGUGAGCAGUUGUAGCUGGAGAUCGCGGCGGGCGGCAACCGGCAAGUGGCUGCAGCUGGGGUUCGUGGCAACGAGUGAGCGGCGACAGCUGGGGAUAUGGCGGGCUUGAGGCUUGGUGAGCGACAGACGGUGUUGGUACCUACUCAAGUGGUAGCGCUGUUGUGGACUCCGCGGCGUGAGGAGCUAAUAUAGCGUGGCGUCGGGACGCUGGGCGUUUGGUGGCUGUGGGCGGCUCUGGGUUGCAUCGGUAUCGUGGUGAGCAGGGGCAGCCCCAGCACUGCCGUGGGCAUAGCACGCAGGUGGGCUUCGACCUGAAGCUGCUGAUGUGAAACAAGUCGGUCGUGGACAAGUGAUAUGAAGUUAACAUGGAUGGCAUUAUAUAGUUUCUUUUGUCCAGAUUUAACAUGGCUCAUGUGUGAGCAAGUAUCACUAAUUUGAAUUUCGUACACACUAUUCAUUCCAUGUAAAUCACUGAGUUUUUAAGUACCAUUGACUUUGAAUGCAUGGUAGCAUUUGGCUUU